rnacentral:rRNA from 1 species
UACGUAGGGGGCGAGCGUUGUCCGGAUUUAUUGGGCGUAAAGAGCGUGUAGGCGGCCAGGUAGGUCGGUUGUGAAAACUGGAGGCUCAACCUUCAGAGGUCGACCGAAACCAUCUGGCUAGAGUCCGGGAGAGGAGAGUGGAAUUCCUGGUGUAGCGGUGAAAUGCGCAGAUAUCAGGAAGAACACCCGUGGCGAAAGCGGCUCUCUGGGCCCUACCUGACGCUGAGACGCGAAAGCGUGGGGAGCGAACCGG